GUGCCAGCCGCCGCGGUAAUACCGGCAGCUCAAGUGAUGGCCACUCUUAUUGGGCCUAAAGCGUCCGUAGCUGGCCGCGCAAGUCCGUCGGGAAAUCCAUCAGCCCAACUGAUGGGCGUCCGGCGGAAACUGCACGGCUUGGGACCGGAAGGCUCGAGAGGUACGUCCGGGGUAGGAGUGAAAUCCCGUAAUCCCGCACGGACCACCGAUGGCGAAAGCACUUCGAGAAAACGGAUCCGACAGUGAGGGACGAAAGCUAAGAUCGCGAACCGGAUUAGAAACCCCAGUAGUCC
rnacentral:rRNA from 1 species